CUGCCCUACCAGCUCUGGGCCAUCUCAAUCUAGACUAAUUAGAAACAAGCUUCCAUCUUGCUUAAACCACUGUAUUUCAGGGUCUCCUAAUCACAGCAGCUCAGAAUCAACUCCAACAAAGACAUCCCCACCAAGGCAAGCUAUGAGGAACAGGAAGCAUACAACUGGCCUUAUUGUCCCUUUUUGGGCCCAAGACAGCCUCAUGGCCCCUUUCUGGCCCCCAGCCAGCCUGCCCCAAGGAAGGGCACAACAGUGACUGCACCUGGGACAGUGGACAGCUGGGACUGGGUGUCAGAAGGAAGGGGUGAUGGGGAGGGAGAGACGGAUCCGUGCAGAGGACUCAUGUCAGUCUUCUCCUCCCCACUUCCCCCUCAAGGCCACACCUACAACUGGACUCUUGGCCUUGCAAGGACUGAGUGCACAGUCCACAAGACAGCAAUGUGAAAGGGAGAAGGAACGUCAACGCCGGGUUUAGAACCAAAAGGAAAGCUCCUCAGGGUUCUCCAGGCCCCUGUGUUGGCUCACGACAGCCUGAGGGGUGCACAGAGACAGACUCAGGCACCAGCAUCCCAGGGCAGCCAGGUCCUGUCCUUUGCGGCAGGGGGUGGAGUUCUGUCUCCAUCUGGCCCAGCACUUCUGACUACACUGCAAAGCAUCCCUCAGCACCUCCUCUUGGUAGGAUGUGGCUUUUUCAUCUCUUCCCUACGAGGUGUCCACGCUUCCUCCUGGACCCAAAUGCAUCUACUUACAGAGCCCUGGGUCCUCCUGGCAGGCCGGUCUCCCACACGGAGCCCAAGGCCCAGGGAUGCCAAAUGGUGGGCUUUUUCCCGGCCUGGCCACCCCCCAGAGGCUGCCUGGUGAGAUCCUGCAGGCUCUCUUCCCCAAUCCUGCCUACCCUCCCCCGCUACCCAGGGACCACCACGCACACUCCAGUGGCACCUCCUGGCCACAGCAGUCUUGGCAGUCAUAAGGGCCACCCAGACGUCACGGCCUGCGCCCUCUCCCAACAGGAGGGAUAUUUUCUGAGCUCAAAGGCCUG
rnacentral:lncRNA from 1 species